rnacentral:rRNA from 1 species
ACCAACAGGGAUUGCCCUAGUAACGGCGAGUGAAGCGGCAACAGCUCAAAUUUGAAAUCUGGCUCUCGGGCCCGAGUUGUAAUUUGUAGAGGAUACUUUUGAUGCGGUGCCUUCCGAGUUCCCUGGAACGGGACGCCAUAGAGGGUGAGAGCCCCGUCUGGUUGGAUGCCAAAUCUCUGUAAAGUUCCUUCAACGAGUCGAGUAGUUUGGGAAUGCUGCUCUAAAUGGGAGGUAUAUGUCUUCUAAAGCUAAAUACCGGCCAGAGACCGAUAGCGCACAAGUAGAGUGAUCGAAAGAUGAAAAGCACUUUGAAAAGAGAGUUAAAAAGUACGUGAAAUUGUUGAAAGGGAAGCGUUUAUGACCAGACUUGGGCUUGGUUAAUCAUCUGGGGUUCUCCCCAGUGCACUUUUCCAGUCCAGGCCAGCAUCAGUUUUCCCCGGGGGAUAAAGACGGCGGGAAUGUGGCUCUCUUCGGGGAGUGUUAUAGCCCACCGUGUAAUACCCUGGGGGGGACUGAGGUUCGCGCAUCUGCAAGGAUGCUGGCGUAAUGGUCAUCAACGACCCGUCUUGAAACACGGACCAAGGAGUCGUCUUCGUAUGCGAGUGUUCGGGUGUCAAACCCCUACGCGUAAUGAAAGUGAACGCAGGUGAGAGCUUCGGCGCAUCAUCGACCGAUCCUGAUGUUCUCGGAUGGAUUUGAGUAAGAGCAUACGGGGCCGGACCCGAAAGAAGGUGAACUAUGCCUGUAUAGGGUGAAGCCAGAGGAAACUCUGGUGGAGGCUCGCAGCGGUUCUGACGUGCAAAUCGAUCGUCAAAUAUGGGCAUGGGGGCGAAAGACU